AACGCACAUUGCGCCCGCCAGUAUUCUGGCGGGCAUGCCUGUUCGAGCGUCAUUUCAACCAUCAAGCGCCUCGCUUGUGUUGGGGCCCUGCGGCUGCCGCAGGCCCUCAAAUCCAGUGGCGGGCUCGUCGUCGUACCGAGUGCAGUAAACAUCCUCGCUCAGGGAACCCGACGGGUGCCGGCCGUGAAACCCCCCCUCCUUAAGGUUGACCUCGGAUCAGGUAGGAAUACCCGCUGAACUUAA
rnacentral:misc_RNA from 2 species